UACGUAGGGACCAAGCGUUGUUCGGAUUUACUGGGCGUAAAGGGCGCGUAGGCGGCAAUUCAAGUCAGUUGUGAAAUCUCCGAGCUUAACUCGGAACGGUCAACUGAUACUGUUUUGCUAGAGUACAGAAGGGGCAAUCGGAAUUCUUGGUGUAGCGGUGAAAUGCGUAGAUAUCAAGAGGAACACCUGAGGUGAAGACGGGUUGCUGGGCUGAUACUGACGCUGGGGCGCGAAAGCUAGGGUAGCAAACGGG
rnacentral:rRNA from 1 species